AAGACUACUUUCAGGAAUCAUCUCUACAUAGUUACGAGAGAAGUUUCUCUGAACACAGCGCUCUGGACACCUCGAGGAGGAGGUUCAGCGUUCUCUCCUGAGUGUGAAGCUGGCUCUUGGCGUUGCUUCUGCAGCCGUCAUUUGCCACUGAUAAUCAAUCCUUCUUUUUCUUUGGGAGAGUAAGAGGGAGAAGAUGCCAUCUGAGUGCC